UACGUAGGGUGCGAGCGUUGUCCGGAAUUAUUGGGCGUAAAGAGCUUGUAGGCGGUUUGUCGCGUCUGCUGUGAAAAUCCGGGGCUCAACCCCGGACUUGCAGUGGGUACGGGCAGACUAGAGUGUGGUAGGGGAGACUGGAAUUCCUGGUGUAGCGGUGGAAUGCGCAGAUAUCAGGAGGAACACCGAUGGCGAAGGCAGGUCUCUGGGCCUGUACUGACGCUGAGGAGCGAAAGCGUGGGGAGCGAACAGG
rnacentral:rRNA from 1 species